UACGGAGGGUGCAAGCAUUAAUCGGAAUUAUUGGGCGUAAAGGGCGCGUAGGCGGAAGAGUAUGUCAAAUGUGAAAACCCAAGGCUCAACCUUGGACGUGCAUUUGAAACUGCUUUUCUGGAGGGUAGGCGGAGAAAACGGAAUUCCACGUGUAGCGGUGAAAUGCGUAGAUAUGUGGAAGAACACCAGUGGCGAAGGCGGUUUUCUAGCUUAUAACCUGACGCUGAGGCGCGAAAGCAAGGGGAGCAAACAGG
rnacentral:rRNA from 1 species